AUCACGUGCGGGCAAGUGGCCUCUUCUUUGGCUCCAUGCAUCUCCUACCUCCAAAAGGGCGGAGUUCCGUCGGCGUCGUGUUGCAGCGGAGUGAAGGCCCUGAACAGCGCCGCAAGUACCACCGCUGACCGCAAAACCGCGUGCAACUGUCUGAAAAACCUUGCCGGUCCAAAGUCGGGUAUCAACGAGGGCAACGCCGCUUCACUCCCAGGCAAAUGUAAAGUCAACGUGCCCUACAAGAUCAGCAC
rnacentral:lncRNA from 1 species